GUGCCAGCAGCCGCGGUAAUACGGAGGGUGCAAGCGUUAUCCGGAUUCACUGGGUUUAAAGGGUGCGUAGGCGGGUAUGUAAGUCCGUGGUGAAAUCUCCGAGCUUAACUCGGAAACUGCCAUGGGUACUGCGUAUCUUGAAUGUUGUGGAGGUGAGCGGAAUAUGUCAUGUAGCGGUGAAAUGCUUAGAUAUGACAUAGAACACCAAUUGCGAAGGCAGCUCACUACACAAAUAUUGACGCUGAGGCACGAAAGCGUGGGGAUCAAACAGGAUUAGAAACCCCAGUAGUCC
rnacentral:rRNA from 1 species